UAUUCGAGAUGAGUACAGGCAUCAGUAGGCCUACCAUGGUAUUGAGGGGUUACACGGGACAAUCUAGGGUUCGACUUCCGGUAGCAGUGGAGGCCUGACGAAACGUGCUACCAUCAUCCAAGGUAAGGCAGCAGGCGCGCAAAUUACCCAAUCCCGACACGGGGAGGUAGUGACAAUAAAUAACAAGUCAGGGCCCUUAUGGGUUUGACAUUGGAAUGAGUACAAUGUAAACACCUUAACGAGGAACAAUUGGAGGACAAGUCUGGUGCCAGCACCCGCGGUAAUUCCAGCUCCAAUAGCGUAUAUUAAAGUUGUUGCAGUUAAAAAGCUCGUAGUUGAACUUCAGACCUGGUCGGGUGGUCCGCCUAACGGUGUGUACUGCUUGACUGGGCCUUACCUCUUGGUGAGCCGGCGUGCCCUUUAUUGGUGUGCGUCGGGAAACCAGGACUUUUACCUUGAGAAAAUUAGAGUGUUCAAAGCAGGCUUAUGCCCGAAUACAUUAGCAUGGAAUAAUAGGAAUAGGACGUGCGGUUCUAUAAGUAGGUUUCUAGAGUCGCGUAAUGAUUAAUGGGG
rnacentral:rRNA from 1 species